ensembl:lncRNA
UAUAAUGCUAAUGGAUACACAAAGUAAAAAAGAUGCAAAUUCUGACACCAAAAACAAAAUAUGGAGACAGAGAGUCAAAAUGUAGAUCUUUAGUAUGUGUUUAAAGUUAAAUUAUUAUCAGCUUAAAAUAGACUGUUACAAAUAUAAGAUGCUUUAUGUAAACCUCAAGAUAACCACAAACAAGAACCUAUAGUAGAUACACAAAAGAUAAAGUGAAAUGAAUCUAAGCAUAUGACUACAGAAAAUCAUCAAAUCAUAAAGGAAGAGAGCAAGAGAAGAAAGGAAUAAAGAAAUUACAAGGGCUAGCCUGGUGGUAUAGUGGUUAAGUUCACUUGCUCCACUUGGGUGGCCUAGGGUUCAUGGGUUCAGGUUCUGAGUGUGGACUUACACACUGCUCAUCAUGCCAUGCUGUGGUGGUGUCCCACAUAUAAAAUAGAGGAAGACCGACACAGAUGUUAGCUCAGGGCCUAUCUUCCUCGCCAAAAAAAAAAAGAGGAAGAAAAGAAAAGAAAUUACAAACUGGCAGAAAACAAUUAACAAAAUGGCAAUAGUAAGUCCAUAUCUAUCAAUAAUAACUUUAAACAUAAAUGUACUAUAUUCUUCAAUCAAAAGAUACAGAGUAACUGAGUGGAUAAAAAAAGAAGACCCAAUGAUACACUGCCUACAAGAGACUCCCUUUAGAUGUAAGGGCACACACAGACUGAAGGUGAAGGAAUGGAAAAAUAUAUUCCACGCAAAUGGAAACCAAAAGAAAGCAGGGGUAGCUAUACUUAUAUCAGACAAAAUAGACUUUAAUCCAAAAACUGUAAAGGAGAAAAAUAAGGUCAUUAUAUAACAACAAAGGGGUCAAUCCAACAAGGGGAUAUAACAUUUGUAAAUAUUUAUGCAUCCAACAUAGGAGCAUUUAAAUAUUUAAGAAAAUAUUAACUGACCAGAAGGGAGAAAAAGACAGCAAUACAAUAAUAUUAGGGAACUUCAAUGCCCCACUUUCAAUAAUGGAUGGGUCAUCCAGCUGUGAGAAGGAAGUAAAUCCUGCCAUUUGUGACAAAAUGGAUGGAUGCUGAGGGCAUUAUGCCAAGGGAAAUAAGCCAGACAAAGACAAGUGCUGCAUAGUAUCACUUAUAUGUGGAAUCUUAAAAAAAAAAAGUCAAAACUUAUAGAAACAGAGAGCAGAAAAGUGGUUUCCAGGGACAAAAGGGGUUGAGGAAAUAGGGAGAGGUUGGUAAAAAGUUACAAACUUUCAGCUAUGAGAUGAAUUUGGUCUGAGGAUCUAAUAUAAAGCAUGGUGAUUAUUCUUGAUAACACUGUAUUAUAUAGUUGAAAUUUGCUAAGAGAGUAAAACUUAAAUGUUCUCACAAAAAAAAUAAAAUAAACAUAUGAGGGGAUAGAUGUGUUAACUAUCUAGAUGAGGAGAAUCUUUUCACAACGUAUACAUAUAUCAUCACAAUACAUAUUUUAAAAAUCUUAUAAUUUUUAUUGUGUUUGUUGAGGAACACUGGCCCUGAGCUAACCUCUGUUGUCAAUCUUUCUUUCCUUUGCUUGAUGGAGAUUGUUGUCGAGCUAACAUCUGUGCCAAUCUUCCUCCAUUCCAUAUGUGAGAUGUCACCACAGCAUGGCUUGAUGAAUUGUGUGUAGGUCUACACCUGGGGUACCCACAAACCCUGGGCUACCGAAGCGGAGAGUGUGAACUUAACCACUAUGCCACUGGGCCAGCUCCAAUCUUAUAAUUUUAUAUAUAAAUUAUACUUCAAUAAAGCUGAAAUUUAAAAGAAAGAAAGAAAAUCAAAGAAUCUGCAGUGAUAAUGCUUUUUGGAAAUAUUAAGGAAGAGGUCCAAACACUAGCAUGAAGGAUUCAUUAGAUGUCGACAGUUGUAAAGGAAUUCUGUUAGUAUCCACAACAGGGUGUGUGUCAGUCUUUGUCCAUUUCCAGCAGCCAUUGAUGAGUGAAGGACUACAUAGUCUCUCAUGGGUGGCCAUGACUUUCCCCUCUAGAGCCGACCAGAGCUGAUCACCAUGAUCUGGGGAUAUAAUUGUGAUGUUUCUUGGGCUGUAGAGCAGUGAAAAUUACACCGUUGCUAACGAGCAGUCAGCAAAACACCAGAGAACCAAGAAACAUAUGUUUUCUCAGGCUCAAACCUCUGGAGAAUCUCCCUAGAUCCAUAAUGUGGUGAUCAUUCUGAAGACUCUAAUAUGCUGAAACCUCUGCCCAAAGUGGUUAGAGGCACAUAGUUUGCAUAUCUUGAUAACGUUUCUAGAAAUCUAAAGUUGUGAUAACUUUAUUUAGCUCGUUCCAAUGUUAAGAUCUUUUCCUGUCAUACCUCUUUGAUCUAAAAUAUUGCCGUACUGUCAGCUCAGCUCAUUUCCUUCUCUUUGUGUUACCCAGAGUCUAACACAUUUUUAUCUUCGUGUAUGAAAAGUUAAAUAAAUUAAAGUAAAUCUCUAUGCAUUGUGGCUGCCCCAAAAUGAAAAUCUCAUACGGACCUAAUCACCUCCAUUGAAACCUAACCUAUCUGGUGUCCCAUCCAUUCUCAAGACCUUUAUUUACUACAUAUAUUAAUUCCUGAAGAUUUGCGUAAAGCCUCUUCAAUCUGAGGUAGCACUUGCAUUUUGGUGGCUCAUUUUGCAGCCUCUACAUCUUAUUCCAAAGAACUAACUCUGGGAGUUUGAGGAGACACAUUUUAAAGAACCCCAAACACUAUCCUAUUACAUUCUUUUAUCAUGCCUGGAUAAACGUCUACUCUGGCCCACCUAUAAUAAAGAAAGUAGACUAUUUUUUCAACAAAGGUGACUUGACAGUAUUUCCAACCCUUUAUCUUCUGUUCUCUUUCAAGACACCCCUAAGUCACCUAUUCGCACACAUCUCUUCUUUUGGAAAGAAGAGUUAUGGUACAGGGCAAGACUGUACUGAUGCUAAGACUUUCAGACUACUAUUGAGUUUCUUUCCUCAGCGUUUGAUGUUUCACUGGCUGGCUGGCUCAGUAUUCACGAUGCUUUGUCAGUGUCUCAAGUUAUGUUUGGAAAAGAACUUGUCCAAAUUCUCCAUUUCUCCUCCACUCACUGCAAUUGGCGGUGGCAUGGCAAUUCUCUUCAAGGUAAACAUGAAGAAACCCGAAGGCGAUAAUACUCGCCUUUCAGUUGGAGUAAUUACCUGGCCUCUACCAACUGCAGACUUCUGCGUGUUGAUAGGACUCAUUCGACAGGUUCUUUUUUAAAAUAGGUAAUGAUCUUUAAAGGAUGAAACCCUACUUCAUAACAUGCAAUUUUGCUAACCACUCUGUUUAGAAAACCGGGUUCCCUCUGGUUUCCCAGCGCUGGUAGCUCCGCUUGACGCAUGAAGUUGGGGCUGCCUCGGUCAUGCCACUUUAGAUUACUGGAUCUCACAGGAUGCUACAAGGCAGACACACCCCAGGCUGACUCACUGAGUGGGAAGUUUAAAAAGAUGGUUUUCCUCAGCCAUCAAUUAGAUAAACCACAUUUUCCAGGAGAAAAACAGCAUCUUGAAAAGCUCUUUACAAACAAAGCUCUCUUGCUCAGAAUGCUUUCGGUCAUGUUUUCUUGUGAAGGGAAGUAUGACUUUAACCUUAAUUGCACUGACAAAUUAGCAAGUAAAGUAUAAUGCCACCCUUUCCCCUCUUCCUUCCUUCCUUCUUCUUUUUUUUUUUUUUCCUCAGAAGGAGACACUUUCAUGAUUUUAGCUUUGGUAAAAUUAGAGCAUUCUUCCUCUUGGCCACUUCCCUCAAAUUUGUGGUUUUGACCAACCACUUGGUGAGCAAGUUAUAGACGCAGGCCUGAAUUCUCUUUCCUCUGCCCCACUUACACUUCUUUGUACAGUUUUCCCUACCUUUUUUGCGACCUUCUUGAAAAUACACUGAGGAAAGGACAUUUGUAGAUUGUACCAUUUUGAAAAUGGCGAUUUGGAUUGAAGAUGUAUGUCAGGAAGAAUUAAGCACUGAAAAGCGAUUUGAACCUCCUCGCCUCAUCUUUUUCCAGCGCUGGCUGCACGCGGAAAGUACUGGAUAAAUGUCUCCCACUGAACUGUAAGAUUCCCAAGGACAAAGGACGUGUUAGUGGUUUCCAUCGCCUGUAUACAGUGUACCUAACACACAUUGAGUAAUAUUUUCAAAAGCAGGCCAUCCUCAUCAUGUAAAAGAAUAAAUAAGAGAAAAACCAUGCAAUUGAAUAUUUUGCACAGAACCUUAUUUCCUUACUCACCUGAAACUUGAGACCAAGGCGACACAGAUAUUCUGGGCCUGAGGACCCCUUGCACAUAAUUUUGAUAGAGACAUCUCUUGGAUCUGAGACCAGUAGGUGAUUAUCACUAUCCCCUUGCUGCACUCCUCUUGUGAGGGAAAGCUGCUGUUGGGUAUGUGGAUGCUAGGGAUCCGGGAACACGAAGGCAUCACCCUGCUUGCAGGUCUUGUAGAACUUUGUCUGCACUGGAGUCAACUUACAGCAGCCAAAGAAUUUUGAUGUCUCCUGAAAGGCCAUACUGGGUAAGAAAAUGGGAAGAAUGAAACAAGUGACGGCAUGUUCCCUCCUGGGAGUUUCCUAUGCCAGACCCUCAUCCCUGCCCGCCCUACCAUUCUAAGUCUCAGCUCCAUUCAGUUGUGUGCUCCUGGAAAGCUUCAUAAUAAAGACAAUGUGGCCCACUUAAAGUUUGUAGUCCAACUGCAAAUUGACCCUCGAUACCUUUUGGAAGUGAUGCUCUUCUCUCUACCUAGCAUUCCUCCUUAACCAUCCUACUUGCCUGCCAUCUUCAUCAGUUUGUUUGUCUUCCAGAAAUAUCAGUGGACAAUACAGUCACCUGCAGUGGGCGCUCACCUGGAGGGCAAGGGAUGGCCCAUGGGCAUCAUUGGCUCCGCCCACAAAGGGCUCCAUGGUGUCUUGAUUUCCUCAUUUUUCUGUGAAAAUUGAUAUAGACAACAUAUAUUAAGCACUUACUAUGUUCUAGUAGCUAUCAUCACAACAGUGCUUGAGGUAGUAACUAUUAUUAUCCACAUUUUACUGAUGUGAAAGCUAAGGGGGCUAACUAGUUUCUCAAGGCCACCAGUAAAUGUCAGCUGAAUGUGGCAGAGCUGGCUUACUAACCAUGGUUGUCCCUUUCCAGAACCCAGGCUCUGAAGCAUCUCUUUCUUUAUUCUCUUCUGAUAAAAAUGGAUGUAUCUCCUCCAAGCCC